rfam:Ovis aries breed Texel chromosome 14, whole genome shotgun sequence.
UCCUUGGUGGCCUAGAGGGUAAAGAAUCUGCCUACAAUGCAGGAGACCCAGGUUCUAUCCCUGGAUCGGGAA